rnacentral:rRNA from 1 species
AACGAACGCUGGCGGCAGGCUUAACACAUGCAAGUCGAGCGCCCCGCAAGGGGAGCGGCAGACGGGUGAGUAACGCGUGGGAAUCUACCCAUCCCUACGGAACAACUCCGGGAAACUGGAGCUAAUACCGUAUACGCCCUACGGGGGAAAGAUUUAUCGGGAUGGAUGAGCCCGCGUUGGAUUAGCUAGUUGGUGGGGUA